rnacentral:misc_RNA from 1 species
GAGAGAGAGAGAGAGAGAGAGAAAGAGAGAGAGAGAGAAGAUGAGGAGAGGGAGGGAAUGCAGUGGAUUAUUAUUAAAAGUUCAAAGCAAGUUGUGCUCCAAGUUUUAACAAAAAGUUACAUCCAAUAUUAAUAAUUUGGCAUAACCACAACAAAAUACUGGAAGCUCUAAAGUUUGCCAUUACCCAAGAACUUCAAUCUAUUACAAGAGAAUAUAAAAUAUACUGGGGAGGCGCUACGCAGGUAGGCUUUAUCUUAAUUAUUGUUGGGCUCCUGAUCUCUCUCAUUAUCUGAACCUAGUACUAUUUAUUUUCAUCCCAAAAAUUUUCAGUGAUGGCAAGGGAAAGUCCCUUUAAAAAAGAGGGAUAAUGUCAUCCUUAUUUAUUACUGCAUGUAGUGGGAAACAUUUGCAUAUUUCAGAGUCCUGGAUUUGCACAAAGUUUUUACCAGUAUAAUAAAAAGAGCCACUUAAAACUGGAAACAUUAAAGAUCAAACAGGGCCUUAUCCGAAAAUGAAGCCAGAAAAUUAAGGUAGCAUCAAUCAGUUACAUGGUUAGUUUGGUUCCCCAUUGCCUCCUUCUUUCAUAGGUGUCUCUUGUUCAAUUUGCAUUCAACAAUUACAGAAAAGCAAAAGACGGGAGAAUCAUAUGGCAGGAUCAGCAGAAAAAUUUUCUUCCAAGGAUCUUUGUGCAUAAUUUUCUUCCAAGGAUCUUUGUACAUAACAAAUCAAUAAAUCAGAGAAAUCUUCAAGCCAGGGACUUUAGAAUAUAAAUAACAGUGAUCGCACGAUUAUCAUGUCUUGAGACAUUUUGUAUUUGAUAUCAUUAGAAACAGAAUAGCGUGAAGUGCAAAUUUCCAAUUCUAUGGUAUCACUCAUAAGCAGAGGAUACAAUGAUAGCUCAGUGCAAACUUAAGAUAAAAGCCCUUAAAAUCAAAUACAUUCAAAUGAUGAAUUUCAUUAUUUUUCAUUUUUUGAGCACAACACAUGGCACUUCAUUAGCAAAAUGCACAAUAUAAUUAUGCACUCACCAAAUAAUAGUACGAGACACCAAAUUUUCCAAAGGCUAAAAAAGAAGCCUGGGAAGAGGGGGG